UCCUGGAAACUGAAUUUAAGUGAAUCAACAUGUAACAAAACCAAUUUUACCAGAGUUCCUGUGGCACAUUUCUGGUCACUUCUAAACAAAGAACCCAAACACUCUAUUAUGAAAUAAAUGUGAACUAUACAUUUAAGAUGUGAGAUUUCAGUAGGAGGAGGGCUGGAGCAUGAGGCCUUUCCGUCUACAAGGCAAAUGUUGGUUUUCUCCUGUCACCAAAUAAAAUUAAGAAAUGACUACUAGACAUGGUUUUAGCUCAACAGUAAAAGAUAUAUACUUAAGGACAGACUUCUUCCUCUUAGGAAAUGUUAUUUUAGGUUGUUUGCUACAGUUUCCAGGUCACAUUCUACAUUUUGUUUAAAUGCCUAAGCAACCUUACCCAGUUUACACAAUCUAAAAAAUGUCUAUUAUUGAGAACUAUGGCUAAAUCAGAUACAGUGUUAUCUUAAGUAGCAGUAAACUUUGGUACCAGUAAAUAAACCACUAGAACAAUUCAGGAGGGGAAACAUUUUAUUUCCACAGUGAGGAAAAUUCUUAGAACCGCUGACUCACUGUGGGGAAGUGCAUGAUACUACCCUCAAUUUGGUGAAAAUUAGACUAGCGUAUUAGAAAGUCAAGUGGUGUGGAGUAAAGUCAGGUGAUGGAGAGAAAAUGGGUAUUUUCUCUGUACAGAGUAACUAAGGCUCUUUAGGAGAGAGGCAAACCAAAAG